rnacentral:rRNA from 1 species
UUUCCAGACUCCUACGGGAGGCAGCAGUGAGGAAUAUUGGUCAAUGGGCGAGAGCCUGAACCAGCCAAGUCGCGUGAGGGAGUACUGCCCUAUGGGUUGUAAACCUCUUUUGUCGGGGAGCAAAAGCCGGACGUGUCCGGCUGUGAGAGUACCCGAAGAAAAAGCAUCGGCUAACUACGUGCCAGCAGCCGCGGUAAUACGUAGGGGGCAAGCGUUAUCCGGAAUUACUGGGUGUAAAGGGAGCGUAGACGGUUAAGUAAGUCUGGAGUGAAAGGCCGGGGCCCAACCCCGGGACUGCUCUGGAAACUAUUGAACUGGAGUGCAGGAGAGGUAAGCGGAAUUCCUAGUGUAGCGGUGAAAUGCGUAGAUAUUAGGAGGAACACCAGUGGCGAAGGCGGCUUACUGGACUGUAACUGACGUUGAGGCUCGAAAGCGUGGGGAGCAAACAGGAUUAGAUACCCCUGUA